UACAGAGGUCUCAAGCGUUGUUCGGAUUCAUUGGGCGUAAAGGGUGCGUAGGCGGCGCGGUAAGUCGGGUGUGAAAACUCCGGGCUCAACUCGGAGACGCCACUCGAUACUGCCAUGACUCGAGUCCGGUAGGGGAGUGCGGAAUUCCUGGUGUAGCGGUGAAAUGCGCAGAUAUCAGGAGGAACACCGGUGGCGAAGGCGGCACUCUGGGCCGGUACUGACGCUGAGGAGCGAAAGCGUGGGGAGCGAACAGG
rnacentral:rRNA from 1 species